GAAACUAAGAUUCAGAUUUGUUUCUUAUUCUUAUCAUGUUCUAUUUAGACAAAAUUAAAUUGAUUUUUAGUAACAAGCCGAGCAAAGUAUUUUAUCUUUUGUGAUGUAUGUCUUCUUCUGUUUUCAUCAGGUUCAAAUGCUUGAAUCUUCUUCUGCUGCUGCUGUUUUGUUUUGUCUAUCAAAUGGAAAUCCUGCCUGCAGGAAACCCCCUUAUAUCUGUGUCGGGAAAAAAGAGAGGCAGCGUCACACUGACAUGUGAAUUUAAGGCUAAGAAGAUUUCUGAUAUUAGUUUAAACACUCGGUCAGGAGUCAUAGAUGUGUGUCAGACUGAAAAAUGUAGUGGACGAGUGUUUAAAAAAGGAAACUGUGACGUCGUCAUCAAGAAUCUGAGCUUCAGUGACGCUGGGAAAUACUUUUUGCAUCUCUAUUACAAUAAUGAUCAGACAGAGCUGGAGCGACAAAUCAGGACGUACCAACUUCAUAUUCAUGAUGAGAUUUCUGUGAAAACAGGCGAGGAGCUAAAGAUGUCUGUUCUGUUGUCUAAUGCUGAUAAAGUGAAGACAAACUCUAGUGGAGAGUGGAAGGAGGUUUGGAAGAGAGGCCACGGGGUCUGGAGUGACCGAAUGAUUGAUGAUAAUGAUGGGAACCUGAUCAUUAAAGCAUUUCUGGACAGUGAUGCAGGAACAUACAGAGUUCUGGACUCUGAUGAAGAAAUCUUGAUCACAGUCACAAUCACAGGUGAGCAGGUGUUUAGAAAUAUUUCUAAUACAUUAUGAGCUUGGGAUUUGCUCUUUUAAACUGACUAAUGUUUUCAAAUCUUGUUCAUAUUUUGUCAUAUCUGCCUGGCUCAGCGGGAGAAAACACAGGUGAGACAGAAGAACAGUAAAGUAAGAAGCUCUAAAAAACAUGAACAAUACUUUUAAAAAUAUAAAAUAUAUUUGUGCUCUCUUUCCAGUUCUCCACCAUUCUGCUCGAGAACAUUGGAGCUGGGUAGAAAAACUUCUUUUUGGUUUUGUGACUUCUGUAUUUUUUGCGUAUAUAGUGAUUAUAGCAGUUGAAUUUUUGCUUGUGUUUGCUGGGAUAAUCUGAUGUAAAGUACACUUGCUGUUUUAUUGCAUUUAUUAAGAAUAUAUUUGCUAUAAGUUAGACUGCAACAUAUAAUAAUUGCUGUUCAUAGUAUUCAUCGUCUGUUUGAUUACGUCUUUAAUUGAUUUUUCAUGAUAAGCUAAUACUAUAGUGGGAAGUCGUGGCCUAAUGGUUAGAGUGUCGGACUCCCAAUCGAAGGGUUGUGAGUUCGAGUCUCGGGCCGGCAGGAAUUGUGGGUGGGGGGAGUGCAUGUACAGUUCUCUCUCCACCUUCAAUACCAUGACUUAGGUGCCCUUGAGCAAGGCAUCGAACCCCCAACUGCUCCCCGGGCGCCGCAGCAUAAAAA
ensembl:lncRNA